rnacentral:rRNA from 1 species
GUCUGUUUGGAAGCUAUGGAGGUACAGGCCUGGUCAAUACUUGGAUGGGAGACCAUCUGGAAAGACAUGGUUCAGCAGGCU